rnacentral:rRNA from 1 species
ACUCCUACGGGAGGCAGCAGUGGGGAAUAUUGGUCAAUGGACGCAAGUCUGAACCAGCCACGCCGCGUGAAGGAAGACGGCCCUCCGGUUUGAAAACUUCUUUUGUAGGGGAAUAAAGUGAGCCACGUGUGGUUUUUUGCAUGUACCUUACCAAUAAGGAUCGGCUAACUCCAUGANAGCAGCCGCGGUAAU